rnacentral:rRNA from 1 species
UUGACCUCGGAUCAGGCAGGGAUACCCGCUGAACUUAAGCAUAUCAAUAAGCGGAGGAAAAGAAACCAACAGGGAUUGCCUCACUAACGGCGAGUGAAGCGGCAACAGCUCAAAUUUGAAAUCUGGCUCUUUUAGGGUCCGAGUUGUAAUUUGUAGAGGAUGCUUCGGCGUCGGCUCCGGUCUAAGUUCCUUGGAACAGGACGUCAUAGAGGGUGAGAAUCCCGUAUGUGAUCGGUUGCCCUUGCCAUGUGAAACUCCUUCGACGAGUCGAGUUGUUUGGGAAUGCAUCUCUUAAUGGGAGGUAAAUUUCUUCUAAAGCUAAUACUGGCCACACACCGAUGGCGCACAGCUAGAGUGAUCGAAAGAUGAAAAGCACUUUGGAAAGAGAGUCAAAAAGUACGUGAAAUUGUUGAAAGGGAAGCGCUUGCG